AAAGCUGAUCUGCUCUGGGUAAGUCGGGGCCUAAGGAGAGGUCGCAAGACGUGUCCGAUGGACAACAGGUUUAGAUUCCUGUACCGCAUAUAACAGAACUGUGGGGACGCAUGUGGAAAGCAUAAGCCGGGAAUGGAAAGACCGGUACAAGCGAGGUAGGUGUGUGACAGGCAAAUCCGUCACAUAAGCCGAAGACGUGAUGUGGAGCGAAAUUAAGUAGUGAAGUAUGUGAGCCAUGUGCCGAGAAAAGCCGCUAUUGUUUUAUAUGUGCCCGUACCGUAAACCGACACAGGUGGAUGAGGAGAGAAUCCUAAGGCCGACGGAAGAAGCAUUGUUAAGGAAUUCGGCAAAAUGACCCCGUAACUUCGGGAGAAGGGGUGCCCACUGAAUGGUGGGCCGCAGAGAAUAGGCUCAAGCAACUGUUUAGCAAAAACACAGGUCUAUGCGAAACCGAAAGGUGAAGUAUAUGGGCUGACGCCUGCCCGGUGCUGGAAGGUUAAGAGGAGAGGUUAGCGCAAGCGAAGCUUUGAAUUUAAGCCCCAGUAAACGGCGGCCGUAACAAUAACGGUCCUAAGGUAGCGAAAUUCCUUGUCGGGUAAGUUCCGACCCGCACGAAAGGCGUAAUGAUUUGAGCACUGUCUCGACAAUGCAUCCGGUGAAAUUGAAGUACCAGUGAAGAUGCUGGUUACCCGCGCCAGGACGGAAAGACCCAUGGAGCUUUACUCCAGUUUGAUACUGGGAUUCGGUACUGCACGUACAGGAUAGGUGGGAGACUGAGAACUAUGGACGCCAGUCUGUAGGGAGUCGCUGUUGGGAUACCACCCCUGUAGUACUGGGUUUCUAACCAUCUGCCGUGAUCCGGCAGUGGGACAAUGUCAGGCGGGGAGUUUGACUGGGGCGGUCGCCUCCGAAAGGGUAUCGGAGGCGCUCAAAGGUUCCCUCAGAAUGGUCGGAAACCAUUUGAAGAGUGCAAAGGCAGAAGGGAGCUUGACUGCGACACCGACGGGUGGAGCAGGUACGAAAGUAGGACUUAGUGAUCCGGUGGUAUAAAGUGGGAUUGCCAUCGCUCAACGGAUAAAAGCUACCCUGGGAUAACAGGCUUAUCACUCCCAAGAGUUCACAUCGACGGAGUGGUUUGGCACCUCGAUGUCGGCUCAUCGCAUCCUGGGGCUGUAGCAGGUCCCAAGGGUUGGGCUGUUCGCCCAUUAAAGCGGUACGCGAGCUGGGUUCAGAACGUCGUGAGACAGUUCGGUCCCUAUCCGGCGCGGGCGGAGGAUAUUUGAGAGGAGCUGUCCUUAGUACGAGAGGACCGGGAUGGACGGACCACUGGUGUAUCUGUUGUCGACCAACGGCAUGGCAGAGUAGCCAAGUCUGGAAGGGAUAAACGCUGAAGGCAUCUAAGCGUGAAGCCCCCCUCAAGAUGAGAUAUCCCUCCUUCGGGAGUAAGACCCCUUGAAGACUACAAGGUAGAUAGGGCAGAGGUGGAAGUGUGGCAACACAUGGAGCUGACUGUUACUAAUAGGUCGAGGGCC
rnacentral:rRNA from 1 species